GGUGUAUUGUAUAACAUUGUGUUUUGAACAAAUAACCGUCAAAGUUACUCUGAGUAGCAACAGCGUUCCCAUGGGAAAGUUAAUGACUAGAUUGGAUGAAUUUCUAAUGGCUCUUGUCACAUAAUUAGAAAGCCAGGGAAAUUUCUAGAAUUCUUCUGCAUGUUGUUCUUGAGAUUUGACAGAAGAAGCUGUUGCCAUAACUACACCUUGUGAAAGUCCAGAUGUAGGACUACUUGGUGCAGCCCUAAUCUGAUAAGUUUGAAGGUCCAUCCCGGAAACAGAAACUGAAUAAUAGUGCAUGCGACCCUAUUCGAACCUUCCAUGACACCACUGGGAUCAUGACUCACACUUCAGGAAACCCUGGUCUAUAAUAUUACAGCAAACAAAUUAAUUUGUAUUUACUUAAAAUGAGUUAUAUGUAAACUACAUCAUGUCCUAUGUACAACAGAAAUUUUUU